rnacentral:rRNA from 1 species
GACGAACGCUGGCGGCGUGCCUAAUACAUGCAAGUCGAGCGCAGGAAAUCGACGGAACCCUUCGGGGGGAAGUCGACGGAAUGAGCGGCGGACGGGUGAGUAACACGUAAAGAACCUGCCCUCAGGUCUGGGAUAACCAAGAGAAAUCGGGGCUAAUACCGGAUGGGUCAUCGGACCGCAUGGUCCGAGGAUGAAAGGCGCUUCGGCGUCGCUGGGGGACGGCUUUGCGGUGCAUUAGCUAGUUGGGGGGGGAAUGGCCCACCAAGGCGACGAUGCAUAGCCGACCUGAGCGGGUGAUCGGCCACACUGGGACUGAGACACGGCCCAGACUCCUACGGGAGGCAGCAGUAGGGAAUCUUCCACAAUGGACGAAAGUCUGAUGGAGCAACGCCGCGUGAACGAUGAAGGCCUUCGGGUCGUAAAGUUCUGUUGUAAGGGAAGAACAAGUGCCGCAGGCAAUGGCGGCACCUUGACGGUACCUUGCGAGAAAGCCACGGCUAACUACGUGCCAGCCGCCGCCGUAA